UGGGGAAUAUUGGACAAUGGGCGAAAGCCUGAUCCAGCCAUGCCGCGUGUGUGAAGAAGGUCUUCGGAUUGUAAAGCACUUUAAGUUGGGAGGAAGGGCAUUAACCUAAUACGUUAGUGUUUUGACGUUACCGACAGAAUAAGCACCGGCUAACUCUGUGCCAGCAGCCGCGGUAAUACAGAGGGUGCAAGUGUUAAUCGGAAUUACUGGGCGUAAAGCGCGCGUAGGUGGUUUGUUAAGUUGGAUGUGAAAUCCCCGGGCUCAACCUGGGAACUGCAUUCAAAACUGACUGACUAGAGUAUGGUAGAGGGUGGUGGAAUUUCCUGUGUAGCGGUGAAAUGCGUAGAUAUAGGAAGGAACACCAGUGGCGAAGGCGACCACCUGGACUAAUACUGACACUGAGGUGCGAAAGCGUGGGGAGCAAACA
rnacentral:rRNA from 1 species